GCAUCAUUAACAUUACAUACAGAAGAAAGACCAGCUACAAAAUAUAUUGGUUGCCAGACUGAGCCCCCAGAAAGAGUGUUGGCACACAACUGUCUUCUAGGACUCUGCAAUCCCCACUCCUCUUUGGAGGCGUUCCAUAGUGUCAUUCUGCGGUUCGCACCCAAAAACGUGGUCUAUCAAUAUCUGGGAAUGCUUUGCAGACUCUACCUGGCUGCACUGCUUAUAAUGAGAAUGCUAAUCGAGGACAAGCCACCACAUCUUCAGGGGAUCCUCUUUACAAACUGAGCUUUCCAAAAUCCAGGAAGGGAGAGUACAGAGCCAGACCAGUGAAGACAGACGCUACAUUCCGCGGCUGAUCCCCUCCUGAGGGAGGUCUUGGGGUUCUGGGAGAAACAGGUACCGCCGACCCCAGAGCAGAGACGAAAGGCCUCAAGAAAAGCAGCGGCGGUACUACGCCAGUGGGACCGCCUGGUAGAGAAGGAAGGGGUUCUCUAUCGUCGAGUCUUCCGCCCUGAUGGGGGAGAGGAAAACCUCCAGCUCCUCCUACCUUCAGUCCUCCAAAAGGACGUAUUGACCCAACUACACCAGGAACAUGGCCAUCAGGGUAUCGAACGGACCACAGAGUUGGUACGGCUGCGAUGCUACUGGCCGGGGAUGUCCAUUGACAUCAAACAAUGGUGCUUGGAGUGUGAGCGGUGCCAAGUGGCCAAAGAUCCCAGGCCAGUGUCACACAGUUUUAUGGGCCACUUAUUGGCAUCUAGGCCAAAUGAGAUCUUGGCCAUAGACUUUACACUGCUGGAGCCAUCUCAUAAUGGGCUAGAGAAUGUCCUGGUCAUGACGGACGUAUUUAGUAAAUUCGCACAGGCUGUCCCCACCCGGGACUAGCGGGCGUCCACUGUGGCCCAGGUCCUGCUGCAUGAGUGGUUUUAUAAAUUCGGCAUCCCGAACCACAUUCACUCCGACCUAGGCAAAAGUUUUGAGAGUUCUUUACUCCUACAACUUUGUUGUCUGUACGGGGUGGAGAAGUCUCGCACAACUCCUUACCA